ensembl:lncRNA
GGCAAAUCCGGAGCUGGAGACUCGUGCCGGCUAAAAAGGCGAGGGGGGAGGAGGGGCCAGCACGUGAAAAUCCCUCUCGGGGUUCACAUGUUCACUUUUGAAAAACGCCUAGAAACUGCGAUCGAGCUGUCCCCCGCGCCCCACAGUCCAUCUGGCUAGAGGAAGCGGGUCCCGUCUCCCUUCAGGGGUGACGACUUAGCCAUAUACUCCGGGCUCAGGCUGGGAGACCAGGCAGGGGCGCGCCGGAGGCGAAGGCAACAUUAAAAGUUUCGCAUUUUAUCGCCUGGCCUGACUCGGAGGUCGCCCCAGACAAACCGCUCGGGUAGAGGCACGGGCUUCUACCGCAUUUCUUUCGCCCUCCCCAAGAUAUUUUUUAAAACCCCAAGGCAAACACCGAUCACCUCCCACCCUACCCCAAAAUGGACAGACGCACGCUCGCGCAGCGCGUUAAACUCGGAGAGGGGAGGGAAAAAAGAGUUGCUGGGGAAACAACCCCGAAAGAAAAAAAAAAAAAAUCCAGCUUCUAAAAUGAGAAUAAAUGAAUAUGGAGAACCGUAAACACUAGGCGGCCGAAGCAGGGCUGGAGCGCGUGGAGCGGGGUGUCCCUGCCUGGACGCUGCGGUAACCCCCCACCCCCGGGCUGCGUCCCGCCCUCGGGGCUCUGCGCACUCAGCCCGCGCCUACCCGCCGCCGGCCGCACCUCGCGGCCCCGAGGACGCCGUCGACCCCCAGUCCCCGCCUCGGCGGCCCCAGACCCCAGCGCGCCCAGCCGCAGCCCCCGACUCCACCGCUGGGACUGGGAGUUGGGCGGGGGUGGGGUGGGGAUUCCGGCGGAGAGGAGGCAGGCGUAGCAAGAAUUCGAGGAGGUAGAAAGCUGAGGGGCGCUGCGCCGCCGAGACUAGGUCACCUUAAAAGGCAGAGAGGAAAGAGCCGGGCGCGCGGACCCGCGGCCGGGCCGCCCCCUCCUGGCACCUGCUGCUGUAGCGCCGGGCCGCCCACGGGCGUGCGCGCGCGCGGGGGACGCGGGAUGCUCGCAGCCGCCCUGCCCUCAGGUUCCCAGCAAAGCAGCGGCGAGAGGGUGGAGGUCUUCCUGCCAGUAAUCUGAGAUGAGGGAUAAUGAGGUGACCCCGAGGCUCGAGAGGAUCCCCCAGCUCCGGAAGCAACCGCCAAGACUCCUUCCUCCCAGCUUUUGGCUCUUUGAUACCGGGCAGCUGCAAGUCCUCGACCGUGGUGGGGUAAAGUGAUGACAGAGAGAGGGCUGUGUGUGUGUGUGUGUUUCGGUCCAUUUAGUGAAAAGUGGGUAGAUGGGGCAGGGUGGGAAGGAGAGCUAGAGCAAUAGAAGGUGAACGCCAGACUGGGUGAAAAGGAAAGGGGGAAGGGAGAGAGAGAGACCUAGAGGCAGAGAUAAGAGAACGCAGAGGCAGAGAGACCGCGCGCCCGCCGAGGGCCAACUCCAUCCGAAGGCGUGCCUGCGAAAGGAGCUGUGAGCUGGAGAGAUGAACCGAAGUGAGCCGAUGGGUGGAGAGUCGGAGAAGUAUCUCGGAAAACUGAAAAAAAAUUCCACGAAGUCUUUGGCUUGAAUAUCUGGAUGGCCCCUGAAUCUUUAUUUGUUUGCAUGUUUGUUUAUCCAGGUCAGUGGAUGGAUGGCCUUAGCUGACAACGUCCUUUGGACGUACCUGUGGCAUCUUCCACGGAGGUCUAGUUAUGAAGCAGCCGGCCAGCAGGAAGCUGCCAGCUCACUGUCUAAGCACCAUGGUGAGUCAAUGCCUCCUGGCCUCCUGGUCAACUCAAGGCUCAGGACAAGAGGAGCCCCAUCCCACCUGGUCACUGUUUUCUCCUACGCAUGUGGUCAGGAAACCCUGACCAACCGCAGUGAAAACUAGAAUUCACUACCUUUGAUCGAUACACAGAUGUCUCAGUCCUACCGGGAACGGUCAUCAGUCUGAGGUUCUCUUCCUGCCUGACUCUGCCCUCUCCUCUUCUACCGAGUGAGGAAAGUUCUGGAUGGGGAUUGGGAGGGAAUCGUCAGUCCCAGGACUUGCCUCUCUCUGCUCCAUUCUGUCAAAAUGUAGUGAAACAGUGGGGGUCCAUCUUCCACUCCACACAGCUGAGUAUCUUCCUUGAAGAUGAAAGAACAGUUCAACUGAGUACAGCUGGAUCCGUGACGAACUCGUGAAGAAGAGCUGCAUGGCUCCCUGACACAGUGGACAUUGACAUGAUAAGAGAAAUAGACAUUUGUUUUUUCCUCAAGCCACUGUGAUUUGUGGUCUUCUUGUUUGUUUUUUAUUAUCCUUUAGCAAUUGAUAGGGAAUAUGAGAAUACCUCUUUCCUCACACAUUUGUCAGCAGGUAUUAAACCUUUGGAUCUUUGGUAGCUGUAGAUAAAAGUGGUAUCUUAAUGUCCUUCUUGUCUUCUUUUUUCUUAUAACAAAUGUGAUUAUUAAUAUUUUAUGUUAAUUAAAAGUGCAUCCUAUUUGUAGAGAACAUUGACAUUUCCUUUCUCACUUUUCUAUUGGUUCAUUAUUAUUGAUGUAUAGUAAUAUAAAGUUAACAAUACCAUAUUUGUCAAAAGUGAUUUCUUUUAUUUUCAUCCUUACUUUUUUCUUAUAUCUGUGGUAAUUCUUUUGCCGUGUAAGAUAUUACAAUACUUUAGGUAAUAAUAUUUAUCUUUUAAAAAUAAUUCUUAAUUUCUGUUUCAUGCUUACAGAUGUCUUGCAUACUGCAGCUGUUUUCUUAAUCUGUAUUUUCUUCUGAUAUUUCAUGAUUUUUUUCAUUUAAUUAAUCUUUCUCAAAUUUGUUUUGAUAAAUCUAUAAACUUGUGAUUCAUUAUUCUUCCUCUCUAACUGGCUGCUUAAUUAUCACAAUUUUUAUUGAAUAAUCCAUCUUUUCCAUAAAGAUUUAAAUGACCAUGUUCUGGUAUUAAUACUAAAACUUAAAAUCAAAUAAAUAUGACCCUCUAGACCAAACAUCAGAAUCUAAUAUUAUUUAUAAUAGUAUAAUAGUAUAGGAUGCCAGGUUAGGUUUUAAUCCCUCAGGAAAUACUUCUCAUUAUUAGCUCAGGCUUUACUGGGAGUGGAUAUUAGAGUAUUCUUGAGGGAGAUGAGUAGAAAACAAUCAAAGUAAUAAUUAUUAAAUGUCUAGACAUAAUGAAACUUUAUUGUAGAAGAUAUUUUGCAUUCUCAUUUUUCUCACUUUUGGAAGAUAUUUGUAAGAUAUCUAAAAUUUUCUUUAAAUUUCUGUUUUGCCAACAAAUAUCUAUAUUAUUAGUUCUUGGAUAUUAACUCCAUAGUGUGAAUUCAUGUGAAUUAUUUACCUGCAAAACAUACAACACUAGUUUUGAUUCAAAAUAUAGUUUUCCACUUUCAUACAAAUUUUAAAAAUUCAGACAGAAAUACAUUAUGAUCGACAAGUGUUUGCAUGUUGAUUUGUACUGACUUUCCUUGUAAGCUUCAUAGAUGAGCUUCUAUAUGAUAAUGGCUCAUAUAUGAUAAUCUGCCUAAAAGGCCAUCUCAAGUUUUUAGAAAUUGUGUGAACUUUUCUUGUAUGAAUCUCUUUUAUUCACCAUCAUCAACGGAGUAUGAUUGCUACUUGCUUAAAAGUGAAAGGAUGUAAUAUCACACUCAAAUGAUUCUUUUUCAGACAAAUAAAGAUUCUCAAACCAGAUGACAGUGAGAAUAAUAAUAUCAUUAAUAAAGCUUGUUUCAUUCGAGGCAUCUGCCAAUCAAAACACUAUUUAAAUUUAAUUGAAGAAUCUGUCAAUGAGAAGGGUGUAUAGAAGUUUCUGUAAGAAAAUACAGUUCAUGAAGGGAAGUAUGUAAAAUAGGACUUUUGUAGGCAACGGAUUAGUCUGUGAAGGUCAGAGGUCAACCGUGGAAACCUGGGUUGUGUUUUCUAAGUGAAGGGAUGAUGUAGGGUAAUCAUACGGUAAUCAAACACAAGAUUUUGCCCAAGCAAGUGAUAUGGAAUUAAGACUUCUAAAGACUGUUAAGACUUCUAAAUAACAAUACAUAAUUUAUUAUCUUGCCUGUAAACCCAGUGGCUCAAACUGUGGGCUGGAUAAUCCCCUUGCGAAGCCCAUCCCCCUGAUCUCUGACCCUGAUGGCCUGAGUUUACCUCCAAAUUCCACAAUGGGAUCUUUGGCAACACAGGAACCUGUGAACGAUGACCUCAAAGAUGUCUUUUCCACCCCUCAAACACCCCUCUUUCCAGUCAUCUCAAGAAUAGGGACAUCAAUGACGCUCUUGAAAAUCAUAGAAACCAGAAAUAAAACAACUUAUGUGUCAAAUUCUGCAUGACUCACAUCAAGAAGAAAUGAGUAUUAAUCUCCCAUUGCUCCUUUCUUGACAUAUGACAUAAAAUGUAGAAAGUUCAUUCUACCUUCUCCUAAUUUUUCCCUUUAAUAUAGCUUCAAUUUUUCUCAACCUGCAGAGCCAUAAGACUAUAUCCUUUUAUUUUCUUCUUUCUUGAAUUAUUUGAGUGUGGUGGUAGCUUUUGGUUAUUUUUUCAGGAAAUCUCCAAUGAAUAAGAGGCCAAUGAUUUAUGUUUACCCCAGCGUGGCAGUAGGCAGAGUCACUCACACACCCAUUUGGUGGGGUUUUAGUUCUUGGGUCCAGCCCUACCCAGCUCUGCAGUCUUCCCCUUUUUCCUCUUCACUUUCUGGACUGUCUUUUCAGAGAAGCUAUAAAAGCAAAUUGAUGUCUCACUUUUUUCUAUGCAGUUUCCUCUAGUCAUUUUUUUCCCUAUAAAUCUGCAUUGCCACUUUCCUUCUUUAUUUUUCCAAAUAGAGAUUUACUAUGGAAAGCUGAACAUUGUCUUCUGUAUUUUCAUGUGGCAUCAUGUACGUUUAC